GAUGAAGAACGUAGCGAAAUGCGAUACUUGGUGUGAAUUGCAGAAUCCCGCGAAUCAUCGAGUUUUUGAACGCAAGUUGCGCCCGAAGCCAUUCGGCCGAGGGCACGUCUGCCUGGGUGUCACGCAUCGUUGCCCCCCCAAACUCCGGUUCGGGCGGGGCGGAAGUUGGCCUCCCGUGCGUGCCUGCGCGCGCGGUUAGCCCAAAAGCGAGUCCUCGGCGACGAGCGCCACGACAAUCGGUGGUCUUUUUACCCUCGUUCCUCGUCGUGCGUGUCCCGUCGCCCGAACGCGCUCUUGUGACCCUCACGCGUCGCCUCGGCGGCGCUCCCAACGCGACCCCAGGUCAGGCGGGACUACCCGCUGAGUUUAAGCAUAUCAAUAGCGGAGGA
rnacentral:misc_RNA from 1 species